rnacentral:rRNA from 1 species
GAUGAACGCUGGCGGCGUGCUUAACACAUGCAAGUCGAACGAAGCGAUACGAAGGAAGUUUUCGGAUGAAAUUUGUAUUGACUGAGUGGCGGACGGGGGAGUAACGCGUGGGUAACCUGCCUCAUACAGGGGGAUAACAGUUAGAAAUGACUGCUAAUACCGCAUAAGCGCACAGAAUUGCAUGAUUCAGUGUGAAAAACUCCGGUGGUAUGAGAUGGACCCGCGUCUGAUUAGCUGGUUGGUGGGGUAACGGCUCACCAAGGCGACGAUCAGUAGCCGACCUGAGAGGGUGAUCGGCCACAUUGGGACUGAGACACGGCCCAA